rnacentral:rRNA from 1 species
GGCCCCGCACAAGCGGUGGAGUAUGUGGUUUAAUUCGAUGCAACGCGAAGAACCUUACCAGGGUUUGACAUCCUGCGAAUCUCUUGGAAACUUGAGAGUGCCUUCGGGAGCGCAGUGACAGGUGGUGCAUGGCUGUCGUCAGCUCGUGUCGUGAGAUGUUGGGUUAAGUCCCGCAACGAGCGCAACCCACGUCUUUAGUUGCCAGCAUUUAGUUGGGCACUCUAGAGAGACCGCCGGUGAUAAACCGGAGGAAGGUGGGGAUGACGUCAAGUCCUCAUGGCCCUUACAGGCUGGGCUACACACGUGCUACAAUGGCGAUGACAGUGGGCAGCGACCCCGCAAGGGUGAGCUAA